rnacentral:rRNA from 1 species
GGGUCGUUGACGKUACCCGCAGAAUAAGCACCGGCUAACUCCGUGCCAGCAGCCGCGGUAAUACGGAGGGUGCAAGCGUUAUUCGGAAUUACUGGGYGUAAAGCGCACGCAGGCGGUUUKUUAAGUCAGAUGUGAAAUCCCCGGGCUCAACCUGGGAACUGCMUUUGAUACUGGCAAGCUUGAGUGUGGUAGAGGGGGGUAGAAUUCCAGGUGUAGCGGUGAAAUGCGUAGAKAUCUGGAGGAACACCGGUGGCGAAGGC